AAUGUGAAUUGCAGAACUCAGUGAAUCAUCAAAUCUUUGAACGCAAAUUGCACUAAUAGUAAUAUUAGUACAUUUAUUUGAGUGUCGUUUAAUAAUCUUAUCAUUAUUAUAAUGAAUGUCUAUUUAGUCAUUUUAACAUCAUAUAAUCC
rnacentral:rRNA from 1 species